AACCCUAAAAAGUAACCUACAAGUAUAUAGCUUAAUACAGUUUAUUAUUAUUUAAGAAAUGUGUCCAAAUUUAUCCAAUUAUUGAUACAAUCAUUUUCGCAAGAUUAAAUCACAAACCUUCUCAAUUGUAAUAAAUAAUUAAAAUUACUUAACGUAAUUGUAAUUUCUAUAAUAUAAAAAUGAUAUCUUGAUUUGAUUAAUAAAGUCAGGAAAAUUUACCAUUCGUUUAGUCAUUUCUAUUUACAUACUUUUGACCACAAAGAACAGAUAUUAGUUAUCUAAUCUCACUGCACGAACCACAAUUUUCACUAUCACAUACACGUGAAGAAUGCCUAGAAAUCAUAUUAUAUCGAUUUCGAGGCGAUAAUUUUAGGGUGUACCUACGUAUAUGCUUAUCACAGUUUCCCUGAACAAAAUAUUCAUUUAAAAUACUCGCCCAAACACUCUUAGUCACUCGUGAAUACUAAACGUGUUUGGACGUAACAAAGAAAAUAAUUCACAAUGUGUUUGUCGUGUGUAUGCGGCUUGCUGUGCAAGAUCAUCAGUUUCUUCAUAUCCCUACUGUUCAUAGUAGGCUUAAUACUGCUAAUAUUAUGGCUAACUGGAGUCAUCUUUGGGAAAUCAGACUCCGAUCAACAACAAGCAACCAUGGACUCUAUACAAAGACUUAUUAAAAGCGGGGCAGGGCAGUGACGGAAGAACUAUGGAGAUAAAAUAGUUUAAUUUCUAAUAUACCUAAGCUAAGAGGCAACAGGGAAUUUUUAGGAGGUGCUUCAUAAAAGUAUCAUUAUAAGCUUCUAUUUGGGGCCUAAUGCAGAGCUUUACGAGUCUACCUUAGAACCUCCUUGAAAAAAUUAUCAAGACCGACUACUUAACGUGCUCAUCGGAGGCACAGGGUUCAACACUAUAGCUUGGCAAGUUCGUUGAUCACACUCCCAUGAUAUGCGGGCGACGGGGGGAAGGACUGCGCGGGUAUGAAGUCAUGCGCGUGGGGCAUUGCUAACCCCCUCCCGGCCCGCGCGGACCAUCGGGAAUGUUACAAACGAAUUUGCCAAGCUAUACCUUUCUCUGGAUUGAAAAUUUCUCGGAAGUAAGAAAUUUCACUAUUUCAUAGCCUGCCCAAGACUCGAACAACAUUGAACCAAUGAAGCAGUUAGUUAAAGUAAUAGCAGAGUGAUACAGGACUUAUAUUUAACUAGACAUCCUCUUGUGCAUUUAAAGUCAGCCAUUGACGGUCAAUUAUUCUCACGUUUCUGCAUCACAAACAUGUGAAGACGUUUCUAACUCGAGCCAUCAUGGACGCAGUGACCAAUACACGAUCAGUUAUAGUUGUGGGUGCUGCAGAAAAAACGUGAGAAUAAUUGAUCGUCAAUGGCGUGCAUAAUAGCAUGAAAUUCUGUAAUUUUGUUGCCUAGAUGACGUAACUAUAGUUAUUUAGUCAUAUCAACCAAAAAACAAAAUUAUUUCGGCUGUUACGUGUUAUAGCGGUACCGAUAAUAUGAAAAAUCGAUUUUGAUAGAUAGCACGUACAGUGAUUGAUAGUAAUCUUUCGAUGUUUACACUUUUACUUUCGAUGUUACUUAUUUACUUUCGAUGUUGAAAUGUUUAUAAAAUAAGGUCCGUUUUCCAUAUAUUUUUCCAUGUAUUGUGGAAAGCUCUUUUUCAAAGCACUAUUCCAAAAAAAGCGUUUAUUCUUCUGUCACACCACACUCUUCCAGCUUCACUUAUUUUAAUUACCUUUUAUUUGUGUUAUUUUAAAGGGAGAGAGUCCUAAUGUAAUUUUUCUAAAUCCUACCUUCACCCAUUUUUUCACUAGACUUACAUUAUACUUUAUUUACAUUAUCAAUAUCAACUAUAUGAUAUAAACGUUAUACAUUACUUAAUGAAGCACCUCCUUUCCCAGCAUUUUAAGAAAAUCAAAAAAAAGUAUCAAGAUCAAGACGAGUAAAUAAUUUAUUUGUACUAUAUACAGGAUGUCCCGUAAAUAUUACAACAUACUUUACAGAGGGCCUAGUAGCAGUUUGAUACUGUUACCGUCACGUAACGUAAACGCGAAUUUCUAAGGAAUUGAUACAGCGCCAUCUAGUUUCAAUUCCAUAUAAAUUUGCGUAAACGUCAACGUGAUAGUAACAGUAUGAAAAUAUUGAAAACUCCCACUAGGCACACAGGUUGAUAGCUGACAUUAAGGCCUACUAAAAUAACGCAUUUUAAAUAAUUAAAAUUAAUUUAUUUGUACGAUAUAAUUUUUUAGCCUUGAUGUCAGCUAUAAUCCUGUAGA